AGAAUAAGUGCCUAAGAAGAUAACCACUGUGGCAAGUGCUGGGGAGAAAAUGAACAGGAUACUGGUGUUUUGAGUGGAGCGUCUAUUUGGAGGGUCUUGGGGCCCUGCACACCUUCACAGGCAGUCCAUGCCCAUCUCUUGGGCCUGCAGAUCAUGUUUUAUAUGAACAUCUGCAGCAUCUGAGCAGCCCUCUUCCUAGCCCAAGUCCCCAGCAUGCUAUCUUUGGAAAGAUAAUGAGUAUCUAUAACAGCUCCUGUUUUUUAACACUUACUUUGUGCCAGGCAUUGCACUAAGCAAUUUAUGGUCAUUACAUCAUUUCAUCCACAGAACAAUAAUACUGUUAUGAAGUAAGUGCUUUUUAUCCCCAUUUUACAGACAAGGACAUGGAAACCCAAAAUGCCUGAGCCGUUUGGCCAAGUCACACAGAGAAGCAUGAGAGGUCUGUGUGGGCCCCUCAGGAUUGAUGUUAGGGAGCCUGGGUCCCUGUGGAGAUGGGCUACCUGGUCCAGUAGGAAGACUGAGAAAGAGAUGCACAGACAUGCGGAAACCGAUGGAGAAACUGCCAGAGCCAGAGACUGUGUGAGAGACGAUGCUGCAAUCUGUGUUCUCGGGCCGGAUGUGCCUGCAGCAGAGCUUCCAGGCCCAUGUUCAAAGGAUGACAUAACUCCGGCUCUUGAUCGCCUGUCUGGGAGAAAGAAUCAGGCCUCUCUCCAGCCUCACCCAGGAGUGCCAGGGAGCAGGCUGAGGGCCGGGGGCCGCUGCCUUAGGGGUAGACUCCUAUGGCACCCCAAUCCUAACUGCAAUUACAGAAAUAAGUUACCUUUCUGAGCCCCCACUGUGCCCCCGCGCUGUGCUUUCCACGCACAGGCUCAAGUGAACGGCAUAGCAACCCUAUGAAGAGUAUUAUCAACCCCAUUUUACAGAUGACAGAACUGAGGCUCGGAGAUGUGGGGUCACUUGUCCAGGGCCACCAGUUUGCAAUUGGGAUUUAGCCCAGGUCUGCGAACUCUAAAGCCAGUGGCUGCCAUGUUGCAUAUGUCUGUGGUGUUGUGCCUGACAAGGUCCUAGUUGUACCCCGAGCCCCACCACCAGCUUCAAACCACACUGAGGGCAGGCAGGUGCCUCCAGGGCUCUCAGAGGAGCCUUCCGUAUCUCCAUGGCAACAGGAUCCUGAGCAGCCAGGGCUGAGCUUGCUCUGCUUCUGAGAAGCGGAAGUGGGCUUUGCCUGCAGAGCCCCAGGGGCCCGACUCUGAGCAAGUGUGCCUUGGGGCUCCCCCAGGACCCCCACCCUCACAAAGGCCCCUCCUGCCCCAGACACAGACCGAACACUCCUCCCUCACAGAGCUCUGGUGGAGAAGCCACCCAGCCUCCCUGCCUCCUUCACAUAACUCCCUGCUGUCCAACUGCAUCCCUCUGGCUGCAGCUCCAGUCCUCGUCCUGGGGAAUCCCCCUGCCCCUCCUCCCAUAGCUGACAUCUGGAGGAGGCAAAGAGGGCUCCUUCUCAAGGUGACUAUAAUUCACAGAAACAUCCCCUAUCCCGGAAGGGCAUCUUUGUCUUCCUACUACCCCAUUCAUUCAUUCAUCUUCUCAGUCAUUCAAUGAAUACUCAAGUGCCCACUAUGUGCCAGGCACUAUGUGCUAGGAAAGUGGCCAAGAGCAGCAGGCCUCCUUGUCAGUGUCCCUCCCCUCUCAGUGUAACCUGGGCCCCUCUCCCAGGACCUGUCUCUCCUGACACCAAGGACACAAAAUCGCAAGGAAACUGGGCUCGAGCCUGGCUCCACCAGACCCUGACUCUCUGGGUGGCCCCAGCCAGAAGCUCCCCUCUCCGCCUUUUCCCUUUUGUAAAAUAAGGGAGGAGGCCAGAAUCCGCUCUCUGAGUUCUUGCCAGCCCUGCUUCUCUCAGGUGCAGUAACUCAACCACCACUUCCAUCCACAGCUGUAGUCAGGGCUGCGCACGUGCCUCCCCUCAGGUGGACCCAAUGACUGCCUCCCCGCCCGCUCCCUGCAUUUUUAAAGAAGCGUCUGGGAUGGCUCUGCUGCUAGGGGUGGGUUUUGCCAGAGAAGCUUGGGGGCUGGCGAGGAAAGGACACAGACAUUGGCAGCGUGCCUUCCCUCUCCUCGGUAGCGUUCCUUCUUCAUCUCUGCAGAAGUGGACAUGAUGACCCCCAUUUUACAG